rnacentral:lncRNA from 1 species
AUGCGAACAUGCCAGCUGCCCUUGCCCCAGACGGCUUGGAUCAUGACGGACAUUUAGAGGAGGCUCAUUUUCGCGGGUUGGUAGCCCGUGCAGUUCGGCCAGUCAAGAGCCCUACCCCUGAGCUACGCGAGUUGCUAAGCAGCAAAGUAAACACCGACCUUCAGUACCUCGACCACCAGCAGCUGGUCACAUGUUUGACUGACAACUUUGACAUGUUCGCCUUAACCAACCGAGAGCUAGGGCUUACGUCCUGGGUGUCCAUGAAGGUGGACACAGGAGAUCAUCCUCCUAUCGUGCAGAAUCCUUACCGUCUGUCACGAACGGAGAAAGCCGCCGUUGAUGCUGAGAUGCGGCAGAUGCUACAGGACGGAAUCAUCGAACUGUCCAACAGUCCUUGGGUGUCUCCAGUAGUAGUCGUUCCCAAGAAAAACGGAGAACUCCGGCCCUGUGUGGAUAUGCGGAGGGUCAACGACGUCACUAAGGACAUCCGGUUUCCGAUAGGCCACAUCCAGGAUAUUUUGGAUAUUGCUGCACCUCCGGGUGGCGAGACUCGUUACUACUCCAGCCUGGACUUGAAGUCGGGCUACUGGCAAGUCCCGAUGGCGGACGAGGCUUCUAAGGAGCGUACGGCAUUUGCCACGCCCACAGCUCAGUAUCGAUAUGUACGAAUGCCCAUGGGUCUAAAGGGAGCAGCCGCCGUGUUCGCUACCCUGAUGCACAAGGUUCUGGGCCCACUACUAGAGGAUUCGCCUCCACCCCCUGCUUCAUUGGAUAGCCCACCGCGGGAACGGUGUGUAGUGGUUUAUCUGGAUGAUAUCCUUAUCUUCAGCCCAACACUACAAGAUCAUGUACGACAUCUUCAGCAAGUGUUCGACCUUCUCCGAAUGGCUGGUCUCAAGAUCGCAGCUAAGAAGUGCACGUUUGGCCAACAACGCGUGGUUUUCCUUGGUCAUCUACUUGACGGAGUACGUGGUGUCGUGGGACCUAACCCCACCAACGUCAUGAAAAUUGCAGAACUUCCGUCGCCAUCCAAUGUUUGCGAAGUACGAGCUUGGCUGGGAGCUGUUGGUUACUACCGGGAACUUAUCCCUGGCUUCGGCUUGAUUGCACAACCAUUGUAUGCGCUACUUAAGCAGGGGACACCCUGGUGCUGGGGUCCAAGAGAAGAAGACGCUUUUCAAGAGCUACAUAAUACUUUGCUGCGGGAGCCUGUUCUCCGCGCACCUGAUUUCCGACGGCCGUUCUUGGUCCAAGUCGACUGGUGCCGCACUGCCGUCGCUGCGUGCCUGGCCCAGCAGGACAACAAAGGAUAUGAACACGCCGUUCAGUUUGCUAGUAAGGCUAUGACUGGCUCACAGCUGAAUUACAGCGCGGCAGAUGGAGAGGCCUACGCUGCCUUAUGGGCAAUUAAACACUUUCACCCCUACUUGUACGGCACUCAUUUUGUACUCAUCACGGAUUCAAUGGUGGUUCGGUCUUUACGGACUGCACGCGCUCGAGAUCUUCUGGGAAGGCUGGCUUGAUAUGCGCUCAAGCUUCAAGCCUACGACUUUGAAGUGAUGCAUAAGGCUGGACGCAAGAAUUCAAACGUGGACGGUUUGAGCCGCUUGGGACAUCUGAUGGAGCCCCACCGUAAUUUGCCUACGGAGAUCGACCCCAUUCCGGACCCACUUGAGGAUGUCGCCAUCUUGGCAUGCUCAAUUGCAGCCGUCGCCUCCGAGGUUCAGAUCCUCAUAACUGAACAGGAAGAGGAGUGUAGCCGCGGCAUCAGGCCGGAUGAACCGUCCACAGUGGCUGUACACCAGCCUCCGGCUCCAUCGUUGCCUACACCAGAGCACAACCCCUUGCGUGAAGCAACCAGAACCCUGGUCCCGCUUGGCAAGCGACGCUUGGAUAGGACAGCUCGUCUGACAUCUGGAACACCAGCUGAGAUACCUGCAGUACAACACGCACGGCAACACCGUCGCCGUCACGCUGUGAAUCCACGUUUAGCAGAUUACGCGGAGCCACCUGCUUCCGAAAGCCCCAAUAGUGAUGAUGACCCCGGAAUGAUCUGUUCGGUCUAUCUACGAGGGCGGCCGACGUCCACUCUUCUGCUCUGCGAUGAGCCUUCCUGCUGUCUGGGCUGGCACACUAUGUGUCUAGAUCCACCAUUGUCUGUGGUACCGGCUGGGCCAUGGUUUUGCCCACUUCAUAAUAGCAAACCAGCUCAACAUUCUGCAAAGCGUCGUCUGUCUACUGGCCCUGGCGAUACGCCAGCCAAGCGGGUGCGAUUUUCCCGAUCCCUGCCCACCCUGGACACACCCCGCCCGGCUGAUUAGCAAUUGGCUGGAGGUCCAGCCAUCAUUCACCCCCGGGCCACCCCAGGUCACCCUAUGGCCGACCGUAUUCCUACUCAGGGUUUGACCCCGUCACCUUCUCCUUCCUUGUCUUCCUCAAGCAAGGAGAGCGACUCAGGUCCGGAUUCCAAUGUUUUUACCCCAGAUAGUGGUAACAGCUCCGGCGAGACGCUGAAGCCUGGACCUCUUACCCCUACAGAAAUUUGGCAGGAUAAAGCAUUGAUUCGAUACUUAGAAUCUGGCAAGCUUCCUGUUGACGUUUCGGCGUCCAGGGAAGAUAAUUUGAGGGAGAUGACAAGAUUACGUAAAAAGGCUGCUCGAUAUGAACUUUCAAAUGGCCAGCUGUGGAAGCUGAGGGUUUUUCGGAUAAGCAAUCACGGGUGCGAGUUCUCAAACCUGAGGAACGCCUGGCAGCGCUUCAAGAGGCCCACGACAUGGCUCAUUGGGGAGUCGGCAAGACCUAUGACUUUCUUCGCAAGCAUUUCUUUUGGGAGAACAUGCGACAAGAUGUGCAGACACACGUGGCCAAGUGUCAGAAGUGUGCACCUGGCAAGCUGAGGCUUGUACGGCAACCACGACUUCGCCCCCUUCCGGUGGUACCACUGUGGGGAAGAGUACAUGUUGAUCUGAUGGGACCUUACAAGGAGACACCUCGCGGCAACAGCUAUCUGAUCGUGGCUGUAGACUCAUGGUCUAAAUGGCCCGAGGCAGGACCCCUGCCGGAUAAGAAAGCUAGCACUACUGCAUCAUGGUUCUGGCAACAGUGGGUGACACGCUAUGGAUCGCCAGAAGUGGUGAUGACGGAUCAAGGUCGAGAAUGGGAUGGCGAGUUUGCCCACCUGGUACGAGAGCAGAAAAUCACACAUCGACACACCGCUGCCUACUCACCUCCGAGCAAUGGACAGGCAGACCGUCUUGUCAGGGUACUGUUGACAAGCCUACACAAAUGCAUCAACGACCAGGAAGACAACUGGGACAUUGAGGUCUAUCAAAUUCUCUAUGGUUAUAGAGCUACCCGACAAGAUAGCACCCGGUUGAACCCGGCGCUAUGUGUGUUCGGCAAAGAACUUACAACGGUGGCUGAACGCAGCACCGCCCUGAAUCCCACACUACCGUCUGAGGACCCUAGCGGAGGUUAGCCCCGGCCAGGUGGCCAGGUUUCUGAAGGGGGGGGACGCUACAGCUGUAGCGACUUCCAGCUGGUCAUAGAGAACUGAGUUUGAUGGCUUUGGUUGCGUAUUGUUCCGGGCAUAGCAGGAGGCCGAAUAUUGCCAUAUCGUUAAUUAGAUUCUAUAAACGCGUUGAGAACGGUCAUAUGCUUACGGUGCACCGCAUAAAGACUGACGAAUGUAGGUUUCAAUCUCGCAACGUAAAAGCAGGCGGUUUGUGUCUUACGAUCUAGCUUCGGUCUGAGAAAUGUUCUAUGACAAAUAUCCUGUACUAGUUUCUUCUCAGUUUCCGUUGGCCGCCAUGAA